rnacentral:rRNA from 1 species
CCUACGGGAGGCAGCAGUGAGGAAUAUUGGUCAAUGGACGAGAGUCUGAACCAGCCAAGUAGCGUGAAGGAUGACUGCCCUAUGGGUUGUAAACUUCUUUUAUAAAGGAAUAAAACGAGGCACGUGUUCCUUUUUGCAUGUACUUUAUGAAUAAGGAUCGGCUAACUCCGUGCCAGCAGCCGCGGUAAUACGGAGGAUCCGAGCGUUAGCCGGAGUAUUGGGUUUAAAGGGAGCGUAGAUGGGUUGUUAAGUCAGUUGUGAAAGUUUGCGGCUCAACCGUAAAAUUGCAAUUGAUACUGGCAGUCGUGAGUACAGUUGAGGUAGGCGGAAUUCGUGGUGUAGCGGUGAAAUGCGUAGAUAUUAGGAGGAACACCAGUGGCGAAGGCGGCCUGCUGGACGACAACUGACGGUGAGGCGCGAAAGCGUGGGGAGCAAACAGGAUUAGAUACCCCAGUAGUC